rnacentral:rRNA from 1 species
GCAAGUCGAGCGCACCCUUCGGGGCGAGCGGCGGACGGGUUAGUAACGCGUGGGAACGUACCCUUGUCUACGGAAUAGCCUUUGGAAACGAAGAGUAAUACCGUAUACGCCCUUCGGGGGAAAGAUUUAUCGGACAAGGAUCGGCCCGCGUUAGAGUAGAUAGUGGGUGGGGUAAUGGAGUACCAAGUCUACGAUCUAUAGCUGGUUUUAGAGGAUGAUC